UUUGCCAAAAUAUCACAACUAUUUACAAUAAUAAUUGCUAAUAUUAUAUUACAGAGGGCUAGAGGCCAUUGGAAACCUGUAUAGGCUUUUAUUCAUGACCCCUAGUAUGACCCCUUUCUCCUGUUGUCACUGUAAAGCUGAUAACUCAUAUGAUAACGAAUUUAAUAAAUUCAAAUUCAAAAUUUCAAAUAAGAUAUAUAAAUGAAGAACUUUAAUUAUUUAACCACACAAAAACUCCGUCGACCGAAGCUGAUUUCCACAGUUGGCGUGUAAAAGCAAUUACUAAAGUAAAAUAUUUAAAAUUAUGUAGAAAAUAUUAAGUGUCAGUAGUGUAAAAAAGUACAAUAUUUAAAGUUAGCUUUAUAGUGUCAAUAUAGGAAUAUAAUUUACGAAUAAUCUAUUUACAGGGUUAAUGGACAACUUGCAUGUUAGACUAAAUUUUAAUCUAAGCAUAGAAAAGGGAAUCAAACACCACAGCUAAAAAGAACAUACCGGAAUUAAUAAAAGUGCAAAAUUUGGCUGCGAAAUGUUGUAAAGCUUGGAAAAUAUAGCC